AGUGAACGCUGGCGGUAGGCCUAACACAUGCAAGUCGAACGGCAGCACAGUAAGAGCUUGCUCUUACGGGUGGCGAGUGGCGGACGGGUGAGGAAUACAUCGGAAUCUACUUUUUCGUGGGGGAUAACGUAGGGAAACUUACGCUAAUACCGCAUACGGCCUACGGGUGAAAGCAGGGGAUCUUCGGACCUUGCGCGAUUGAAUGAGCCGAUGCCGGAUUAGCUAGUUGGCGGGGUAAAGGCCCACCAAGGCGACGAUCCGUAGCUGGUCUGAGAGGAUGAUCAGCCACACUGGAACUGAGACACGGUCCAGACUCCUACGGGAGGCAGCAGUGGGGAAUAUUGGACAAUGGGCGCAAGCCUGAUCCAGCCAUACCGCGUGGGUGAAGAAGGCCUUCGGGUUGUAAAGCCCUUUUGUUGGGAAAGAAAAGCAGCAGGUUAAUACCCCGCUGUUCUGACGGUACCCAAAGAAUAAGCACCGGCUAACUUCGUG
rnacentral:rRNA from 1 species